UAUAUUCCACUGACUAAUUAGCCUUUACUAGAACAGUUAAUGGGAAUAGAUUACCGAUAGUGGCGUGUGUCGUGAAGACAACUCAUAGGCUCCUGGCAUAGCAGAUCAGUGAUUCCCACUUCAGCCAACCAUUUAUGAUUGUUUUGGGGAAG
rnacentral:rRNA from 1 species